GGGCCGUUAGCUCAGCUGGUAGAGCAGCGGACUUUUAAUCCGUUGGUCACUGGUUCGAAUCCAGUACGGCCCA
rnacentral:tRNA from 4 species